AGAAGUAAAAGUCGUAACAAGGUUUCCGUAGGUGAACCUGCGGAAGGAUCAUUAAAGUUAUAGUCCCCCGGCCCUCUGGGCUGGGGUCUUCUAUACCACCCUUUGUUUAUUACACCUUUGUUGCUUUGGCAGGCCUGCCCUCGGGCUGCUGGCUCCGGCCGGCUCGCGUCUGCCAGAGGACCUAAACUCUGUUUGUAUAUGAAGUCUGAGUACUAUAUAAUAGUUAAAACUUUCAACAACGGAUCUCUUGGUUCUG
rnacentral:misc_RNA from 1 species